UACGUCAGGCCUUGACGGUACCUGCAGAAUAAGCACCGGCUAACUUCCUGCCAGCAGCCGCGGUAAUACCAAGGGUGCAAGCGUUAAUCGGAUUUACUGGGCGUAAAGCGUGCGUAGGCGGUUCAGUAUGUCGGUCGUGAAAUCCCCGGGCUUAACCUGGGAAUUGCGGCCGAAACUGCUGGGCUAGAGUGUGGUAGAGGGCGGUGGAAUUCCAGGUGUAGCGGUGAAAUGCGUAGAUAUCUGGAGGAACACCAAUGGCGAAGGCAGCCGCCUGGGCCAUAACUGACGCUGAGGUACGAAAGCGUGGGGAGCAAACAGGAUUAGAUACCCUGGUAGUCCACGCUGUAAACGAUGAGAACUAGACGUUGGUCAGCUUGGCUGAUCGGUGUCNUANCUAACGCGCUAAGUUCUCCGCCUGGGGAGUACGGCCGCAAGGUUGAAACUCAAAUGAAUUGACGG
rnacentral:rRNA from 1 species